rnacentral:rRNA from 1 species
UACGAAGGGGGCUAGCGUUGCUCGGAAUCACUGGGCGUAAAGCGCACGUAGGCGGCUUUUUAAGUCAGGGGUGAAAUCCCGGGGCUCAACCUCGGAACUGCCUUUGAUACAGCACGUCUCGAGUCCGGAAGAGGUGGGUGGAAUUCCUAGUGUAGAGGUGAAAUUCGUAGAUAUUAGGAAGAACACCGGUGGCGAAGGCGGCCCACUGGUCCGGUACUGACGCUGAGGUGCGAAAGCGUGGGGAGCAAACAGG